CGGCCGGCGCCUAGCAGCCGGCUUAGAACUGGUGCGGACCAGGGGAAUCCGACUGUUUAAUUAAAACAAAGCAUCGCGAAGGCCCGCGGCGGGUGUUGACGCGAUGUGAUUUCUGCCCAGUGCUCUGAAUGUCAAAGUGAAGAAAUUCAAUGAAGCGCGGGUAAACGGCGGGAGUAACUAUGACUCUCUUAAGGGUCUAGUUACAACUGGGCAUUGCUGCAGAGAUCGCACCUCCUCGUGGUCCCGCUGGUAGCCCUUUGAAGGGUGACUAAGUCGAUCUCUGCCCCAGGUACGGAGCCGUUGGGACUCACCAGCCCAACGUAACUCCUGCCAAAACUCGGUGAAACAAAUUCCUCGGUAAAAAGCCUCAUGGCUUCUUGCCCGAAACCUGGCCCCCCGGUUUCAGCAGGGGCAAUGAGUUCGGAAAGUGGACCGGCCACCCACUCCGUUCUCGCCAUCGAACGUGGUCCCAAUUCGUUGGCAAAAUAUUCCAGAUCAGACUUUGGGGGGGGGGGUCUGGGGCUACCGAUACGCCUGCUCAGGGUGUCGGUCGGCACUCAGACCUCCCGCUCCGACUGGGUAGACCUGGUGUCCUGGAGCCACCCAGGACCCGAGUCCAAAUCCCAGCGGGUUGACCUGGUGUCUCUAUUUCCUAAACACCGGGUUGACCUGGUAUCCAAAAACGACCAGGUAGACCUGGUGGCUCAAAUUUUACCAUCUAAAUUUCCCCCCAAUUUGGCAGAAAACGAAUUGGCUUUGCUGGUGAACUUAGAGUUCUAUAGAUCGGAUCUGCAUGUGCAUGAAUGUAUUCGUUUGUCUGUGGAUUGGGAGGGAUUGAACGGGCUGCCUGAGGUGUAUGAACAGCGUGCACCACAACCGUGUGUGGGAGAAAAUUUACAUUCUAGCCUCCCGCGAGACAGUGAACCGUUUGUGCCUGAAGAGGGGAGCAGCGAGAAGGGGAACGAGGAAGCGCCAAAAACAUCUCCUCCAACGCCUGGGAAGCGCGGGGAACAGACUGGGGAGGACAUCGUGACGGUGACUGUUCCUGACAAAAAUCCACCUUGUCCUUGCUGUGGUACCCGGGUGAACUCUGUGUUGAACCUGAUUGAACAUCUGAAAGUGUCACACGGGAAAAGGGGGGUUUGUUUUCGGUGUGCAAAAUGUGGAAAGGAGAAUAAUAAUUAUCACAGUGUUGUUUGUCAUUUUCCAAAAUGCAGGGGUCCAGAGAUAGAGAAAGCCCCAGCAGGGGAGUGGAUCUGUGAGGUAUGC
rnacentral:lncRNA from 1 species